UACAGAGGUCUCAAGCGUUGUUCGGAUUCAUUGGGCGUAAAGGGUGCGUAGGUGGCGCUGUAAGUCGGGUGUGAAAUUUCGGAGCUUAACUCCGAAACUGCAUUCGAUACUGCGGUGCUUGAAGACUGGAGAGGAGACUGGAAUUCAUGGUGUAGCAGUGAAAUGCGUAGAGAUCAUGAGGAAGACCAGUGGCGAAGGCGGGUCUCUGGACAGUUCCUGACACUGAGGCACGAAGGCCAGGGGAGCAAACGGG
rnacentral:rRNA from 1 species